AGAACGAACGCUGGCGGCGUGGAUAAGACAUGCAAGUCGAACGAGACUUUCAGCUGUAGCAAUACAGUUGAAAGUUUAGUGGCGAACGGGUGCGUAACACGUGGGCAACCUGCCCUCAGCUCUGGGAUAACUCCGGGAAACCGGGGCUAAUACCGGAUACGACCUCCACGGGCAUCUGCGGAGGUGGAAAGUUUUUCGGCUGAGGAUGGGCCCGCGGCCUAUCAGCUAGUUGGUGGGGUGAUAGCCCACCAAGGCGACGAC
rnacentral:rRNA from 1 species